UCCGAGUUGUCCCCGGCAGUCCUUUUAGAGUCCCCGGCAUUACCCGCUGGCAACUAAAAGCAGGGGUUGCGCUCGUUGCGGCACUUAAGCCAACACCUCACGGCACGAGCUGACGACAGCCAUGCAGCACCUGUGCUAGCCCCUUACGGACACCGGCUUUCACCGGCUUUAACCAGCAUGUCAAACCCAGGUAAGGUGGGGAUGACGUGUCGUUACCUUA
rnacentral:misc_RNA from 1 species